CUUGAGACCGGCGCACGGGUGCGUAACGCGUAUGCAAUCUACCUUGUACAGGGGAAUAGCCCAGAGAAAUUUGGAUUAAUGCCCCAUGGUAUAUAGUUUUCGCAUGAUUACUAUAUUAAAGAUUUAUCGGUACAAGAUGAGCAUGCGUCCCAUUAGUUAGUUGGUGUGGUAACGGCACACCAAGACGAUGAUGGGUAGGGGUCCUGAGAGGGAGAUCCCCCACACUGGUACUGAGACACGGACCAGACUCCUACGGGAGGCAGCAGUGAGGAAUAUUGGGCAAUGGGCGAGAGCCUGACCCAGCCAUGCCGCGUGCAGGAAGACGGUCCUAUGGAUUGUAAACUGCUUUUAUACGGGAAGAAACACUCCGACGCGUCGGAGCUUAACGGUACCGUAAGAAUAAGGAUCGGCUAACUCCGUGCCAGCAGCCGCGGUAAUACGGAGGAUCCAAGCGUUAUCCGGAAUCAUUGGGUUUAAAGGGUCCGUAGGCGGGUCUAUAAGUCAGUGGUGAAAUCCGGCAGCUCAACUGUCGAACUGCCAUUGAUACUGUAGGUCUUGAAUUUUUGUGAAGUAGCUAGAAUAUGUAGUGUAGCGGUGAAAUGCUUAGAUAUUACAUGGAAUACCGAUUGCGAAGGCAGGUUACUAACAAAACAUUGACGCUGAGGGACGAAAGCGUGGGUAGCGAACAGGAUUAGAUACCCUGGUAGUCCACGCUGUAAACGAUGGAUACUAGCUGUUGGUUGUACAUUGGUAUGAUCAGUGGCUAAGCGAAAGUGAUAAGUAUCC
rnacentral:rRNA from 1 species